rnacentral:rRNA from 1 species
GAUGAACGCUGGCGGCGUGCCUAAUACAUGCAAGUCGAGCGAACAGACGAGGAUCUUGCUCCUCUGACGUUAGCGGCGGACGGGUGAUUAACACGUGGUUAACCUACCUUUAAUACUGGUAUAACUUCGGGAAACCGGAGCUAAUACCGUAUAAUUUAUUUAACCGCUUGGUUCAUUAUUUAUAUACGUUUUUUCUUUCUCUUUUAUAUUGUUCCGCGCCGCAUUAGCUAGUUGGUAAGGUAACGGCUUACCAAGGCAACGAUGCGUAGCCGACCUGAGAGGGUGAUCGGCCACACUGGAACUGAGAAACGGUCAAGACUCCUACGGGAGGCAGCAGUAGGGAAUCUGCCGCAAUGGGCGAAAGCCUGACGGAGAAACGCCGCGUGAGUGAUGAAGGUCUUCGGAUCGUAAAACUCUGUUAUUAGGGAAGAAAAAAUGUGUAAGUAACUAUGCACGUAUUGACGGUAACUAAUCAGAAAGCCACGGCUAACUACGUG